UGGGGAAUCUUGGACAAUGGGCGCAAGCCUGAUCCAGCCAUGCCGCGUGGAUGAUGAAGGCCCUAGGGUUGUAAAAUCCUUUCGUCAGGGACGAUAAUGACGGUACCUGAAGAAGAAGCCCCGGCUAACUUCGUGCCAGCAGCCGCGGUAAUACGAAGGGGGCUAGCGUUGUUCGGAAUUACUGGGCGUAAAGCGCAUGUAGGCGGGUCGUUAAGUCGGGGGUGAAAGCCCAGAGCUCAACUCUGGAACUGCCUCGGAUACUGGCUAUCUCGAGUCCGGAAGAGGUGAGUGGAAUUCCUAGUGUAGAGGUGAAAUUCGUAGAUAUUAGGAAGAACACCGGUGGCGAAGGCGGCUCACUGGUCCGGUACUGACACUGAGGUGCGAAAGCGUGGGGAGCAAACAGGAUUAGAUACCCACGUAGUCCCUGAGCGGGCUGGCAAGGCGCAU
rnacentral:rRNA from 1 species